GUGCUCACUUUGGCAGCACAUAUACUAAAAUUGGGAAGAUACAGAGAAGAUUAGCAUGGUCCCUGCUCAAGGAUGACAUACAAAUUCAUGAAGCAUUCCAUAUUUUU
rnacentral:snRNA from 1 species